CUUUGCCUCGCCAUCUCCAUAUUCGUAGCAUUUUCCAAAUGCAAAUUUCCAUAUUCGGAUAUAAAAAACAAAGCAGCUUUGCUCCUCUGAGCUUAGCACGGUAACCAGCCAUGCUUUAUACCACACCCGAUCGCUUCUCUUCUUCUGCCUCUCCUUUGCUUUCUUCGCUGUCUCGAAAACCCAUCUUUCUCCUUUCGAGAAAACUGCGAGUGAGCAGCUGGGUGAGUCGUCGAACUCGUGCCAGUCCUGACUCAUUCGAAGUGCCGAGUGAUUGGUAGCUAUGGUUUCAUGAAUGUUACUAGGUGAUUCGGUUUUUCUUCAUGAAAAUUUUUUCUCCCAUCCUCUAUUUGGUUCCCCGGAAAACUAAAUGAAAAGAAGAGAAUUUUGAGUCGCUGCUUAUUUUUUUUACUAAUUUUAGGCAUUUGUGGUGUUCAUGUUUAGUGUUUUUCGUUUCUUUUAUUCUACUUUUUUGGGUAAUGUUCAAGCCUUAGCCAAAAGACGAGUAGUUUCUGUUAGGUUUCUAGGAAACUGGAAGAGAACGAAAGAAAAUAAAAUUUUGGAAUUUUUGUUUCGUUUAACUGCCCGAGAAAUUGUGAGAAAAUGAUAAAUAUCCGUGUAUAACUCUAAGUAAACUCGUCAAACAUUUUAAACAUCUUUAAGGAUGGAUGUUAAUUUCGUUGAGGUGGCUAGUCUCGGUUUGUGGAUAGUGAAUAUAAUUAUUUGCUGAGGAUGCAUCAAAUAUAAACAGGAAUUAUAGUAACAAGGAAGCUUGAAUUCUACUUUUUUUUUCAUAAUUAUGAAAUUCAAUUAAUGUUGGAACGUCCCUUUCGUAAAAUUUUUUGUUCGUGGCAUACACGCACAUUCAGGAGCACAUGAAUGUUACUAGGUGGGGUUUUAAUGUGAAUUCUUGUCUCUGUUUGGUUACUGAGAAAAGAAAAAUAAAAGAAUUUUGGAUGAAUGUGGUAUUUCUUUAUGUAAUUUUGAUUGUCAAGUACUCUUUAAUUUGGUUGCUCAGAAAGUGAUGAUAUUUAGUAGAGUAGAAAAAAUGGGUUUAUGUUUGUUGGAUGUUACAUUUCGUACUUAACCUUCCAGUUGGUUGCGGAGGAAAUGUUUGAAAACAAUAUGGUAAAAAGAAGGGAAAGUUUGAAUGUUAUGAUUGUUAUUCAUUACUGCUUGCUAUUCUUUGGUUGAACAAAUAGAUUAGAUAUCUGAACCUCACUAGAGUAGAUAAUUUUGUUUGUGCACAUGCAUCUUGAGAAGCAGAUGCAUGUAAAGGGCAGGUUCCUAGAGAGGUUAUUUAAGCCUUUUUCUUUUGUUGUUGCUAAUAGAUGGUGAGAGAAACCAAACUUAGAUUUUCAUUCUUUAAUAGUUUCCUCCUAAAGUUAGGAUCCUUAAAAAACAGAAACCAUCACUCAAUGUGUUCUUUAUCUUGGUUUAGGAAGCAACAAAAGAAUAUGAAAGAUUUAAAUAUCUUUUUCUUCCCUUUUUUGUUUUUUACCCGCAAAAUGAGGUUUUUGCAUUUGUGAUUGGAAAUUGUUAUUCUCAAUUUUUUGUUAAAUUUUGGGUUUUGAUGCAAAUUUUAUUGAAAGAUGACAUGGAUAAAGGUCUGAACUUUUGUUUCCAGCUAUACUGGGUUUCAGUCAGGGCCAGAUCUUGAAUAUUCAUCUGAAGAUUAUGGGCAAUUAAGAGUUCAAGAUGUUGGAGAAGGGAAUGUAAAAGUCAGGUGCUUUUUUACUGAUACAUGUAUGCACAUGGGCACAAACAUGGAGACAAAUGUUUGCUACUUUUGAUGCAACUUGCAGAAGUUUUACAUCUUCCUACUGAUGCUAUCCAUGGCAGUUCAUCUGCAAGCUUUAUGAAGGAUAAAUAGCUCAGGGUCCAUUUAAGGGCACACCAGUUAUCUUUAAGGUUUACCCCGGACAAUGAGCUGGUGGUAUUGAGGCUGAUAUGAUGGCUGCCAAUGAACUCCAUAGUCAUGCUUUCCUCCAGGGCAGUUCUGAAGGUAUAUGUAGGAAUCUUCUGUUACUUCUUGGUGGAUUUGGGUCAAAAACAGCGGAGCAGGUCUAUCAUUUCAUAUUAACUAUAUAUGAGUUUGCAAGCUGCCUUUUCUUUUGGGCAGCUUUAGAAAUGAAGUACCUUUGUUCUGUAUGGUGGUUCACCUUCCAAGAUGAUGGUAAAUAUAGUGCAGCAGAUUUUGCAAAAGUUACUAGCAAGAAAAUAUCAAAAGCCUUUUCUCUAGAAGAAAAGUCUUGGAAUCCUUUUGAGCGAGAGUAAGCAUUUAAACGCAGAGCAUAAUUUGUCAUUAAGCUAUUAGAGGGUGCUGUAAGUGCUUUAGUCUACAUGUGUAAUCAUGAAAGACUGCACCAGAGUCUUGGACCCUCUUCUGUUGUACUCAGGUAUUUUGUUAGACAAUAUUCAUUUGAAGUCUGGAUUUAUCCUCCUUAAAAACAAUCGGUUUGCUCUGCUUACUUUAAAUGUUUAAUCAACCUUUUUCUUGACUGAUGAUGGUACAAUAGUAGAAAGAGAUGCUGCUUAUUUGGCUGCAAGGCUUCCAGAUCUAGCCUUUUCUGUUGACAUCAGGUUUUCGUAUUUGGAAGAAGAUCCUAGCACAUUCUCAGAGGAUCUUUGAAGAUGAGCAUCUUCUGCUGGUGCAUUCACACCUAUGGAGAGAAGAGCCUUUGGAAUAGCAGAUGACAUUUAUGAAGCAGGUCUUCUUUUUGCAUACUUGGCCUUUCAUUGCAAUGGCUUUUGGAAAGCACUUCAAACUUGAUCUCAUGGCUACCAGAGAGUGUUGUUUCGCAGAUGACAGCAGGUUAGAAGCUGUCAGAUUUCUAGAUCUUGGUGCUGGUGCUGGUUGGGAAGUACUUCAGGUC